UGACUCUCAGCCAGAAAUUAAGCAAUAUUUCCUGACCUUCCAAGACUGAAUUGAGGAUUCUGUUUUCUGCCUUUUCUUCAAGUAUAUUGACUUGAGUGGCAGAAAUAGUGGUUUAAACUUUCCUGUUCUCUUUUCCCAUGUCUACCUCUAACUGAACAUGGGGUAGAAUCUGCUGUUUGUUUAUAUGCUUUGAUUUUCCAAGGACUGGGCCUAUGACUUGAUACACAUAGUAAAUCCUGUCUCACUGAAUGAGUAGCUGAGGGGUUGAGAAAUUGGAUAUAUUUGUUGAAUUUGUGUUUUAUUGUUCUGUAGGAAGGAACGUCAACUCUAGCGGGCAAGAAGAGUAAAAAACGUUUUUUCAUCACUCAAGUUGCUCCACAACAGCCAAUUAUGAACUCUGAUCACGGAUUGGACAAAGAUAACAAAUGUAAUAAGGAGUCUACCUCCCAAAGAGAUCCUGAAGACAGCAAAUCACAAAAGAAUUCGAAGGAAGGAACGUCAACUCUAGCGGGCAAGAAGAGUAAAAAACGUUUUUUCAUCCACAACAGCCAAUUAAUAAAUAUGGGAUGGACUCUGAUCACGGAUUGGACAAAGAUAACAAACGUAAUAAGGAGUCUACCUCCCAAAGAGAUCCUGAAGACAGCAAAUCACAAAAGAGUUCGAAGGUACUGUGUCUUCUUGUGA
ensembl:lncRNA